rnacentral:rRNA from 1 species
CCGUGUCGGAGCUAACGCGUUAAGCAUCCCGCUGGGGAGUACGGCCGCAAGGCUAAACUCAAAGAAAUUGACGGGGCCCGCACAAGCGGCGGAGCAUGCGGAUUAAUUCGAUGCAACGCGAAGAACCUUACCUGGGCUUGACAUGUUCCCGACGGUCGUAGAGAUACGGCUUCCCUUCGGGGCGGGUUCACAGGUGGUGCAUGGUNGUCGUCAGCUCGUGUCGUGAGAUGUUGGGUUAAGUCCCGCAACGAGCGCAACCCUCGCCCCGUGUUGCCAGCGGAUUAUGCCGGGAACUCACGGGGGACCGCCGGGGUUAACUCGGAGGAAGGUGGGGAUGACGUCAGAUCAUCAUGCCCCUUACGUCCAGGGCUUCACGCAUGCUACAAUGGCCGGUACAACGGGAUGCGACGCGGNGACGCGGAGCGGAUCCCUGAAAACCGGUCCCA